UACGUAGGGAGCGAGCGUUGUCCGGAAUUACUGGGUGUAAAGGGAGCGUAGGCGGGACGGCAAGUCAGAUGUGAAAACUAUGGGCUCAACCCAUAGACUGCAUUUGAAACUGUUGUUCUUGAGUGAGGUAGAGGUAAGCGGAAUUCCUGGUGUAGCGGUGAAAUGCGUAGAGAUCAGGAGGAACAUCGGUGGCGAAGGCGCCUUUCUGGUCUGUGUCUGACGCUGAGAUGCGAAAGCCAGGGUAGCGAACGGG
rnacentral:rRNA from 1 species